GACGAACGCUGGCGGCGUGCCUAAUACAUGCAAGUAGGACGCAGUUGCGAACGGGUGAGUAACGCGUAGGUAACUGCCUAUUAGAGGGGGAUAACUAUUGGAAACGAUAGCUAAUACCGCAUACUAGUAGAUGGACCUGCGUUGUAUUAGCUAGUAGGUAGGGUAAUGGCCUACCUAGGCAACGAUACAUAGCCGACCUGUGAUGGUUGUCGGCCACACGGGGACUGAGACACGGCCCAGACUCCUACGGUAUGCAGAAGUAGGGAAUCUUCGGCAAUGGGGGGACCCCUGACCGAGCAACGCGGCGUGAGUGAAGAAGGUUUUCGGAUCGUAAAGCUCUGUUGUUAAGGAAGCGGUACUUAACCAGAAAGGGACGGCUAACUACGUGCCAGCAGCCGCGGUAAUUC
rnacentral:rRNA from 1 species